GAAAAUAACUUUUUUCAAGAGUCAUCUAAUAUUUGUGUUUUGGGUGCAUUUUACAAACGUCUUCUACUAUCAAACGCGUCUAAACCUAGUGAAAAAAUUAUUUUUGUUUUCACGAAUACAUGUACCCGCGCACAGAAGGAUUGUCUUUCACUUUCACACAUCAUUACUCACCAUCGUCACCUUCGUCUCACUCUGUAUCCUCUUUGAAUCUCUGCAUCUAGAAUGGAGAUGCCCCAGGGGUUUUGUUCGUCACUUCCUUCAUCCAUUCCUUGCAGUAUCAGUUGCGUCGUCUUCCCCAUUCUCCGUUGGUGUCGUGUCAUCUUCUCUCUUUUCCGCCGAAAGUGUCGCGUCGUCUAAUCUCUUCUCCGUUGUGAGCAUCGCAACUUGUCAUCAUUUUUUCUGGACUUGUUCUUCUUCUCCACCGAUGUAAUAGUUUCAUGCUUUGGCUCCCUUCAUCUCUGCUUCUCUAGGUUUUGCUUGCCGUUCAUAUCUGAUCUCUUCCAAUUUGCCAGUGUUCUUCUGCUAGGGUUCAUCACCGCUGAUCAUUGUUCAGUUUUUGCUUCAUCGGCACCUUCGCUUCACUCUUGCGCCACCUCAGCAUCGAGCGUGGUGCACUGCCGCCACACCGGCUACAAACCCGUACCACCUGUGGAAGGAGAAGGAAGAGGAGAUUUUGAAGGACAUUGAGCCUGUGGUUACACUAACCAAAGAUAUUCUUCACUCUCGAAGGAAUGUAAAUGUUAAUGUCCUUCAACUGCAGCAGCAGAAUGCUGAGUCCGUGUGGGCGGUGCUAGGGCUUGCAGAUGAGCCUGCGGUGCAGCCUUGCUCUGAGGUGAAGAAGAAUGGGGUUUCGCCUAGGACUGCAGCGACGCUCAUUCCGGGUCCGGCUGUUGUUACGUUGGGGUGGAGAGGAAGCCAGGUUGUCCUCUGAAGGCUGUGCCCACUGCUGAUGUUGUUGCUGCUGUUGUGGCGGCAGCUGAAGCUUCAAGUGGUGACUCCUAUUAUGUUCAUUCUGAUUUCUGAUCUUGCCGCUGUUGUGAAUGCAUUGCUGUUGGCGCCCGUAGUUGUGCUUGCCAAUCAACAGUCAUUAUAACCAGGUCAUUCAUUUGAGUUAUGAAAUUUUAUAUCUAUCUGAGUUGAUUUUGUUUUCCCUUUUUUAUUUUUAUUUGUUUGUUAUUCCGACAAACGGAUCUAAAGAAAUCAUUUAAGUGCCUCCAUAUAGCUGAGAAAAUAUUCUCUCUCUCUCUCUGAGUAAAAUGUGCUACUAUCAUCUCUCUCCUCUGCAAAUUUUUUUUCAAGAAUCAAUUAUUGGAAAAUGCAAUGUGAUUUCCACAUCAAUAGACCAGAAAAUCCUGAACCAUCUGAAACAGAGUUGAAGAGAGCUGAUUUGUUUUUCAAUUAUGCAUAUGCGUUAGUUGCUAGCCGUGCAAAACUUGAUGACUUUACAAUUGAAGGUUAGUUAUUUGCAUCUGAUAUUUGUUAAUUUUGGUAAGAUAGAAGUUUCAGUUGUGAUGUUUGUAUUCAUGAGCAGAGCACCAUUCUUUAUUCAUAUGUUGAUUUUUUUAAUGCACUAAUUAAUGAUUAUGUCCACAUGUACGAUAUAUAGUAAUAUUACUUAAGAAUGAUAAGAAUUUCUUUCUUUUCUUUCCCUUUAUUUUUACAUUUUAUGACUGAUUCAUUGGGCACUGUGUUUGUAUAGUGCAAGUAGGCACAAGCAGUGCUGGAUGCGGCUGAAGCUGCCACUACAACUGUGAGAUUUCUGGACAUACAUCAUAAGUUUAAGUCUGAGAUUGAAGAAUGUUCAAAAAAGGUCUGUUCAUAUGGGCGUGUGUUUGGUCUCUUUAGUUUUAUUUAAUAUUAAUAGAUAGUAUAAAUGUGUAUUGUGUUGUGGAUUUUUAGACCUUUUAAUUUUUUUUUCUUCUUCAGACUUUGCUAUUGGGAUAUUUGGAGCAGCAUAUGAGUUUUACUUCUUCAUUCUUUUAUUUACUUUUUCAUUUUAAUUUUUUUAA